rnacentral:rRNA from 1 species
CCUACGGGUGGCUGCAGUGGGGAAUAUUGGACAAUGGGCGAAAGCCUGAUCCAGCCAUGCCGCGUGUGUGAAGAAGGCCUUCGGGUUGUAAAGCACUUUCAGUGGGGAAGAAAGCCUUGGGGCUAAUACCCUCGAGGAAGGACAUCACCCACAGAAGAAGCACAGGCUAACUCCGUGCCAGCAGCCGCGGUAAUACGGAGGGUGCGAGCGUUAAUCGGAAUUACUGGGCGUAAAGCGCGCGUAGGCGGUCUGAUAAGCCGGUUGUGAAAGCCCCGGGCUCAACCUGGGAACGGCAUCCGGAACUGUCAGGCUAGAGUGCAGGAGAGGAAGGUAGAAUUCCCGGUGUAGCAGUGAAAUGCGUAGAGAUCGGGAGGAAUACCAGUGGCGAAGGCGGCCUUCUGGACUGACACUGACGCUGAGGUGCGAAAGCGUGGGUAGCAAACAGGAUUAGAUACCCGGGUAGUC